AAAAAACAUUUUUCCCAUCUUGCAGUUCAAUUCAUAUUUGUUUAUAUCUUAAAUAUUUUGCUCACAGAUCACUAUUAACAUUCUGUAUAUAAUUCUGUUUUAUUUUCUUUCCCCUUGUAUUAAUCUUUUAGCUGAAAAGACGUAAAGUAAGCAGUCACCCCAGUGGUGUUUGUGGAGAGGUAUUCCUUCAGAAAUGGAGAAGACAGAAAGCUGCAGAGGCAGGAUUGUUUGCAGAUAAUGCUGUUCUUCUUUUUCAGAAGUUUUUGGGGAGCCAACCCUCACAAACCUUCCUAAAAACUAAAAGAGCUAUUACUGAGUCUCAGCGACUCUUGCCACGAUCAGCUCUUCCCAGAAGAGAAGGAAGACCAAGGAAAUGAUUUGCUCAGGAUGAGAAAUGAAGAUGGUCAUCUUGUGCUCAAGCAAACAGAAGUCCUCUGGUAUGUGUGUGUUGAAGCAAUGCUGUGUUACAGGACUUUAUGAUGAUCUCUCACAGGACUGGUCAUGUCAGCCGUAAUUAUUCUUUCCAAUGUUUUUAUAUUUAUUUUAUUUUAUUUGAUACAGCUAUAAUAAUUAUAGCAUGUUAGCAAAGUUUGACUGGAACAUUUUUAAUCUAAAGUUUAAAAAAAAACACCACCUGUUAUUCUUAAAAGCAUACAAGUGUCAUAAAAGUGGUUUAAUUGAUAUAAACACCAAUUGACAUUAUCUCACUGUUUUGUGAAUGUGGUGUUAUAAAUUGUGAAUUGAUAGUUGAUUGGUUUGAAGCCAGGCCUUACACUGCACAGACUAAAACACAUUUGUGAGAGAAGUCAUUAGCUCUGGAGAAAGACUCUAGAGGAAGAAAACACAUUUACUGCAACAAAAGAUGAAUUCUAGAGUCUCUGAGAAGUACACAUGCUAAUGGAGUCUCAUGAGCAAGACCUUUGCCUCUGUAACUUUUUCUAAAUUCUUGCAUAAUGAAAUUGUUUAUUGCAGUAUUUUAACAAUUUUACUUUGUACAGAUGAUCUCAUCAGCCAAAUGAGGGGUUUUGACCAAGUGAUGCUCUUGAAAGGAGUGAAAGAAGAG